rnacentral:rRNA from 1 species
ACGCUCGACACCUACGGGAGGCGGCAGUGGGGAAUAUUGCACAAUGGGGGAAACCCUGAUGCAGCGACGCCGCGUGAGUGAAGAAGUAUUUCGGUAUGUAAAGCUCUAUCAGCAGGGAAGAAGAUGACGGUACCUGAGUAAGAAGCCCCGGCUAACUACGUGCCAGCAGUCGCGGUAAUCUGAGCGGGCUGGCAAGGC